rnacentral:rRNA from 1 species
UACGAAGGGGGCUAGCGUUGCUCGGAAUUACUGGGCGUAAAGCGCACGUAGGCGGCUUUCUAAGUUGGGGGUGAAAUCCUGGAGCUCAACUCCAGAACUGCCUUCGAUACUGGAGAGCUCGAGUCCGGGAGAGGUGAGUGGAACUGCGAGUGUAGAGGUGAAAUUCGUAGAUAUUCGCAAGAACACCAGUGGCGAAGGCGGCUCACUGGCCCGGUACUGACGCUGAGGUGCGAAAGCGUGGGGAGCAAACAGG